UACCAGCACCCCGAGUGGUCGGGACGAUUAUUGGGCCUAAAGCAUCCGUAGCCGGUUCUACAAGUCUUCCGUUAAAUCCACCUGCUUAACAGAUGGGCUGCGGAGGAUACUAUGGAGCUAGGAGGCGGGAGAGGCAAGCGGUACUUAGUGGGUAGGGGUAAAAUCCGUUGAUCCAUUGAAGACCACCAGUGGCGAAGGCGGCUUGCCAGAACGCACUCGACGGUGAGGGAUGAAAGCGGGGGAGCAAACCGGG
rnacentral:rRNA from 1 species